GAUGAAGAACGUAGCGAAAUGGGAUAAGUAAUGUGAAUUGCAGAAUUCAGUGAAUCAUCGAAUCUUUGAACGCACAUUGCGCCCGCUAGUACUCUAGCGGGCAUGCCUGUUCGAGCGUCAUUUCAACCCUCAAGCCCUGCUUGGUGUUGGGGCCCUACGGCUGCCGUAGGCCCUGAAAGGAAGUGGCGGGCUCGCUACAACUCCGAGCGUAGUAAUUCAUUAUCUCGCUUAGGGUGUUGUGCGGUGCUCCAGCCGUUAAAGACCAUCUUUAACUCAAGGUUGACCUCGGAUCAGGAAGGAAUACCCGCUGAACUUAAGCAUAUCAAUAAGCGGAGGA
rnacentral:misc_RNA from 1 species